rnacentral:tRNA from 1 species
GGCGUGGUGGCGAAAUGGUAACGCGGCGGUUUGCAAAACCGAUAUGCAGGGGUUCGAUUCCCCUCCACGCCUCCA